rnacentral:rRNA from 1 species
UUGGAGGGCAAGUCUGGUGCCAGCAGCCGCGGUAAUUCCAGCUCCAAUAGCGUAUAUUAAAGUUGUUGCAGUUAAAAAGCUCGUAGUUGAAUUUCGGGGUCAGCAGGUUGGUCGUGCCAAUGGUAUGCACUGGCCUUGCUGAUUCCUCCCUCUUGAUGAGCCGUAAUGCCAUUAAUUUGGUGUUGCGGGGAAUCAGGACUGUUACUUUGAAAAAAUUAGAGUGUUUAAAGCAGGCAAGCGCUUGAAUACAUUAGCAUGGAAUAAUGAAUAGGACGUUUGAUCCUAUUUUGUUGGUUUCUAGGAUUGACGUAAUGAUUAAUAGGGAUAGUUGGGGGCAUUAGUAUUCAAUUGUCAGAGGUGAAAUUCUUGGAUUUAUUGAAGACUAACUACUGCGAAAGCAUUUGCCAAGGAUGUUUUCAUUAAUCAAGAACGAAAGUUAGGGGAUCGAAGACGAUCAGAUACCGUCGUAGUCUUAACCAUAAACUAUGCCGACUAGGGAUCGGAUGAUGUUAAUUUUUUAAUGACUCAUUCGGCACCUUACGGGAAAC